rnacentral:ncRNA from 1 species
AGACCUCAGGUCAGGCGGGGCUACCCGCUGAGUUUAAGCAUAUCAAUAAGCGGAGGAAAAGAAACUAACAAGGAUUCCCAUAGUAACGGUGAGCGAACCGGGAAGAGCCCACCAUGAAAAUCGAUUAUAUUUGGCAUCCGAAUUGUAAUCUGGUGAAGCAUCCUCAGUAGCGGAUCGGGCCCAAGUCCCCUAGAAAGGGGUGCCAGAGAGGGUGAGAGCCUCGUCAUGCCCAGUCCCUGUCGCACCACGAGGCGUUGUCGGCGAGUCAGGUUGUUUGGGAAUGCAGCCCCAAUCGGGCGGUAAAUUCUAUCCAAGGCUAAAUACUGGCAAGAGACCGAGUCGCCACCUGCCGAAACGGACAUUGGCAUUCGCGACGU